UUUUUUCUUUCUUUUUUUUUUUUUUUUUUUUUUUGUCUUUUUACCAUUUCUUGGGCUGCUCCAGCAGCAUAUGGAGGUUCCCAGGCUAGGGCAGCCCUAGAAAAGGCAAAAAGACCAAAAAAAAAUAAAAAAUUAAAAAAUAAAGUCUUUUUCAUGGAGAUUGGUAAUCUCCAGAUUACUUAGCUAUUUUUCUGAGGCGUUUUGAGUUUUCAUCUGGGUCAUAUUUCUCUGUCUUUUAAUUUUGUAUAGUCUCCUUUUUGCAGACAAUGGGCUUGUAGGCUCUCUUGCUUCUGAUCUCUGCCCCCUUGUGGAUGAAGUUGGUACAGGGGCUUGUUGCAGUCUUCCUGGUAGGGGGGACUGGUGCCUGCCCACUGAUAGGUGGAGCUGAUUCUUGUCCCUCUGAUAGGUGGGGCUUUGUCUCUGGGUGUGAUUAGAGGAACUGUGUGCUUAGGACUUUAGACAGCCUCUUUGCUGAUGGGUACGACUGUGUUCCCACCUAGUGUGUUUUUUGGCCUGGAGCUUCUUAGCUCUGGUGGGUGGGGCCAGAUUUUUCCAAAUGAUUCAUGCCAGUGAUCAUUCCUGAAACCUCUGCCUCCAAUGUCCUUCCCCCACAGCAAGUCACAGCUGCCCCCCUGCUUUCCCAGGAAAUACUCUGAUACUUGCAGGUAGAUCUGACUCAGAUUCACAUGGAGUCUCUGCUUUGCCCUGGGACCCAGUGCACAUGAAACCUGUGUAUACCCUCCAAGACCAGAGUCUCUGUUUCCCCCAGUUUUAUGGAGCUUCUGUACACAAACCCUGCUGGCCUUCAAAGCCAAAUGUUUUAGGGGCUCCUCCUCCUAAUGCCAGACCCCCAGGCAUGGGAACCUGGCAGGGGCUCAGAAUUCUCAUUCAUGCUGGAGAGCCUCUGCAAUAUAGUUAUCUGUAGGUUGCCCACCCCAUGGGUCUGGGAUUGCUUAUAUCCUGAAAGUGCCCCCCCCCCACGACCAUCUCGAUAUGGCUUCUUCUUUGUCUUUGGGUGUAGGAUGUGUUUUUUGGUAGUUUCCAGUCUAUUUUGUGGAUGGUUAUUCAGCAGUUAGUUGUAAUUUUGGUGUUUUCAUGAGAGAAGGUAGCUUAAGUCCUUCUACUCUGCCAUCUUUAUUCCCUUUCCUAUAUGUUUUAGAUGUACUCUGAGAUUUUACUUCAGAAAUUAUAAUACCAGUAUAAAUAUUUUUUUAUUGAAGUAUGGGUCAUAUAUAUUGUUGCAUUACUUUCAGGUUUACAACAAAGUAAAUCAGAUAUAUAUACAUAUAUAUCAUAUAUAUAUAUAUCAUAUAUAUGUGUAUGUAUAUAUAUGUUUUUCAUAUUCUUUUCCAUUAUAGGUAUUACAAGAUAUUGAAUAUAGUUCUAUGUGCU
rnacentral:lncRNA from 1 species